GGCAUGAACCACUGGGCCCUGCACAUUUUUUCAUUUAAUCCUCACCACAGACCUAGCCACAAGAAAGGCUGCAGGACCUGGGCUAUUGCUGAUGGGGCUGCCAGAGGUCGGGUCUUUGAGUCCUUGCAAAACAAUGCCUGGGGGUUCUGCUAGGUAUGAAAGACAGCCUGAGGAGGGUGAGCUGGUAACCUGGCCACAUGGACUAGGCCAGUUGGGAAGAAAGCAGAGUGGGAAAGGCUCUGGGCAGGGGAAGGAGGGAAGGAAGGAGGGAGAUGCUUUUCAUGGGCAGAGGAUAAGAAGCCCCCAAGAGACUUGGGCUAGUCACCCCAGUCAUUUUGAGGCUGGCAGGGACUGGCAGGUCACAAAUAAGCCUCUGUUCCUGCCAUAGGCCAGAGAGUUGUGCUCUGUGUUCUGUAUCUGCAACAGAGCUGAGCUUUUCAGUUCCAGGAAGCCAGAGAAAUGCAAUGCCUGUUAGUCUCUGUAAAUGCUGCCUUUCUGGAAGCACUGUCCUAUCAGUGCCAGGAGCUUCUGGCUGAUGCUAUACCGGAUGUUGGGACAAUGAGUGCUCCUGAGCUAAUCCCUGGGACAGAGAGGACUCUGGAGACACGUGCAAUUGUUGGGACAUCCUGCCCUUGAAGAAUGAGUCAGCUGAGAGGGGGCCCAGUACCCUUGUGGGAAGCUGCAGCAAUGCCCUCCUAGUGGGUGGGGUGAAUCUUAGCUAGGCCCUGGCCUGGGGCUUCAGGCAGGAGGACAUGGGCUGGGGAACAUUGACCUUGAGCCUUCAAGCAGGGUGAAGCUGGCCAGGGUGGGUUAGUGAAUUUGUUCAUCUGUAGGUAGGUAAGAGUCUUGAAGGUUGGAAGCCUCAGAGAAGGCUCAAGUUCAGGGCAGGACAGAGGGGUUCAUUUGUUUUUAGCUCCUGAUAUUCAAGGAAAUCUCUCAAGGCACUAGCUGAACAGAGACCACACAUGACAAGGAUUACUGACUUUGCAAAAAUAGUUUGGUAAAGUCACCAAACAAAUAGGCAGCUACAGCCUUCAACAAUUAAAAACAGUAAACUCAGGAAGGAGGAGAAACUGAUUUCCAGGGUUGCCGUAUUGUAAUAUUCAAAUGUCUAGUUUUCUAAUAACAAGUAGAACCUCACAGAUUAUACAAGAAAUAAGAAAUUAUAGUCCAUUCAAGAGGAAAACAGUUAAUUGACAGUACAUGUCUCUAAGGAAGCCUAGACAUUUAAAUAUGCUCCUAGUGAACAUUUCCUCCUCUUCCCUCUCGCCUCCAAGCCCACCAUGGUCCGCCUGGUCAACCACCUUUUCUCUGGCCUCGGCCAUCACAAAAGGGGUGAGUGAAUAUCAGCUCAAGCAAUUCUGCAGCUGAACAGAAUGCUACCUCCUCAUUUUUUGACUCCUUCCUCUGACAGAGACUCCCUGAGGUCCACAGCCUGGCUCUGCCUCUUGAGGAGCCAGAGCCAUGGAGAUAAAUGGGAGGGGUCUUUGGCUAAGAGGAGCUGAAGAUUUCUCACAUGUGCCCCUCAGGGUCUGGGGCUGUGAGGACCACAUUUGGGUCCAAUCCAGGGUGUAAGGACUGCUAACCUGUAUUCUCCUUCACUGAUGGGCUGCCAGAAACCUCAUCCACAAGGGAGUUCACAUCUGAGCCAAUUUGAAACAAUCUUAUGAGAUUCUUUGAGCCCAAAGCUCAAAUACAACCUCUCUCAUCUGCU